ACCCCUUUGGCAAAUUCUCUGCAUUUGUACCAAAUUUUCAUCUUAGAAAUCAUAGCAGUGACAUUAGAAAUAAGAAGAUAUGGUGAUCUACUAAUUUGAAUUUAAUUAUUAAUUUUUUAUGUCCUGUCAGUUUUGAAAAUUUGAUGGCUAUUCUCAUACUUUUUGUAUGAAAUUUGAAUCCUCCCUGUACUCCAGGAGUUGAAGCUCAUUAUAGCAAUCUCCUAAUUAAUCCCUUCUUCUGUCUGUUUGUCCAACCAAUAUUUUUAUUACACUUUUCUCAGAACUACUGAUCAGAAGGACUUGCUAUUUGGUCAGCAACUUAGUGAGCACUUUACAUCUGUCAGAUAGGUAUUUUCUGUUUGCCGUACUAACUUUGAAUGUUUCAGUAUGUUAAAUGAUUGUAAAUUUUUUCGACACACAUUUCUCCAAUAUUUCUUGACAAUGAAUUCAUAUUUGGUCAGUAGUUUAAAAGUAAUGAGGUGUAAUAUGUGUGCACUUUAAGGAACUGUGAGACACCUGCUUCCUGUUUUCCAAUACUUUGAGUUACCGUUGGUGAUCAUGCUUAAAGCACAACAACGUGUGCAUUCUUAUUCAUCUAGAAAAUUUAAUUUAGGUGAGGAAUAUUAACUGUAUUUAACAAGUCAGUGCUUUUAAUAAAUUUUGUAUUAACAUUCUAUUUUUUUUUUUAAACUUUAUGAUUGUUUAAGAUAGGUUGGCAUUAUUGAACAGAAGAACAGGUUAUUUAAAGAUCAAUUGAUGCUAACAUUAAUAGACACUAGAAUUUAUUUGAAUAGAGAUAAAACAAAAUUGUCAUUCAAAAUUUUAAUUAAAAGAAUAGAUACUCAUAGCUUAUUUUUUUAGGCAAUAUGGAGUUCUAUCUAAUAUGUAUAUGUUAUACAGGGAAAAUCAUUCAAUUAUAAAUCAAACAAGGGCUUAUUGGUAGAGUUUGAUUAUACUAUUCGAAAAGAUUAUUUAGUUAAAUCUCUUGCUUGAAAUAAAAGGAAAAUAAAGUUACCUGUCCAUGUUGUUUAAAUGACAAAAAAGUGUAAAGCUGGUUCUUAAAUGCACUAAUAUUCUGUUUUACAUUCUCCAUCUCAAUCUACAGAUUUGUGUAAAUGUAACCGUUCUUGCCCAAUUGUUACCUUCCUUAUUUAGGUGUUAUAUAGUAACUUUCCUUGCCCAGAUGUUACCUUUCUUGACCAAUUGUAACCUUCCUUGUCUAAAUGUUAAAUUCCUUGCCUAGAUGUUGCCUUCCUAAUUCCCAAAUGUUACCUUCCUUGCCCAAAUGUAACAUUUCUUGCCAAAAGGAUCACUAAUUCUUGAUUAAGUUUGAAUGUAUAAUUCUGGUGUUUAUUUAACUAAAGAAUUUUAAAAAAAUGAAUUAACUGUUUUAAUCAGUAGCAAGUAAAUAAUAAUUUCAAAGAUUAGACUUAAUAAAUUUUUAAAGGUAUGAUACUGACUUUUGAAACACAGGUAGUCACAAUAUGAUAUAUUCAAAAUUCUCUAAUUCCUCGUCAAUUUUUCCCAUUCUGCACCCAUUGUAUAAAAAAAAUUUAAUCAACGUGUGGUUUGUUUAAUCUCAGUUCUUCAUUGGUUAAAAUCAGAUUAUGACGUCGAAUUUACUUGCUUUCCUCUGAAUUUCCUAUUGUGACGGCAUGAAAAAAGGCGACCAUGCCUGAUGACGACACAUCUUUUUACAGAUCAUUCGAAAAGACGGAAUAAGUUUGCCUGCAUAUUGUUUGAAAAUCAUUAGAGAAACAGAUUCCACCGAGCAGCGAGCCUCGCGUUUUAAAUUUGAAAAUUUAACUGUCUCGAGUGGAUAAAUAUCGUAUCACACUUGAUGCAGUGGUAGAAUCUAUAUUUAACAGUAUAUACUUCAAAUCUUCCCUUUAGAAUUAAAUAUAUAAAUUCCAUAACAUCUAAAACAAAAAAGUCACAGGAACAUAAUGAUCAAUUUUUCUGCUGUCCCUUAAUUGUUCUAUAUCACAUAUUGUCUAAUAGAAAAAUAAAUCAGUCUUUCCAUUACAGAUUCACAAACUCUGAUUAUAAUAGGAGGAAAUAUUUGUGUUAUCAAAUUAUUUUCUAAAAAUGUACUAUAUUCAUGUUUGAGUGAUAAAAAGAUAAAUAAUUGAAAGAUGAUCUUUUAAUGCAUUUCUUGCUAAGAAAAUGCUUGUGUUUGAUUUUAAAGCAUAGAUAGACUAGACACAGUAGGGAAUUGUAAUCAAAUUUAAAAGUAAUUAAAGAAAAAGACCAUGAUUCAAAACUAGGAAAAGGAGUUGUACAUGACUCCAAAGUGGUCAUGUAUGGAGAAGUUUGAUUACUUAAAGUUAUACAAAAAAGACAAAAUAUAUUACAGGGCAGAAAGGUCAUUUGUAUUGAAUAUGUAAAACUGUUUAAACAACUAUAAAAGUCCUAACCAUUCACAAGCUCUGAAAGGCUCAAUUCUAAUUAAAUGAAUGAAGAAGAUCGUAGAUGUUUUUUUUUUUGUUUCAUUCCAGGAUGGCUGUCUCAUAAAGAUACCUCACAUAUCUAUUUAUUCAUAAAGUAUAAGUAAAAAUAAUCAAUCAUGAAUCUGAUUGAAUGAAUUUAACUACUGUGAAUUCAGUUAUUUUUCUUGGUUACCAAUUUUUGUGGUCUGAGGAAAAAUUGCAAGCUUGUUAAUAUUUUGUUAUUGCCAAAGUCUGCAUACAAGCCAGAAAAAAAUUGUACUUCAGUGGAUAAUUGAAUUCAUGGUUUCCUUAAACCCACUAAAUCCAAGAAGAUUGAUAUGCCACAAAUAAUAAUGAAUCUGUUCAGUACUAAGUGUUAAUGGUGUGAUAAGUCUCUUUACAACUUGCCUAGACUUUAGGGUGAUUUAUUAGCUGAAAUAUAGUACAGAUUUGCCUAUUGUUGAAGACCAUAUGAUGACCUUCAAAUGUGGUUUUGGGAUUUUUAUAUUCCUAUAGACUUGUCAAUAAUGGACGUAUGAUGGUUAACCACUGUCCCUCCAUCCGGUUGACGUAAACAUGCCUGGAGCCAUUUACGUCAAACAUAACAAAAUUUUUCAGAUUUGUGGUCUGAGGUUGUGUAUUAAUUUAUUGUCAGGGGCCCUUGAUUGGAAAAUUAAGAACUUUGAACUUUGAACUUAUACUUUUUGACAAUUUUUUAUAUGGUUUUAGAGUUAUGGGACUUCAAUCUUAACUUUACAGCUCAGAUCAAGCUGAUUAAGUCAGAAGUCAUAUGAAUAAUGUUUAGAAAAUUUGGAAAUAAAUUAUGGGAUUAGUUAAACUUAACAAAAAAUCCAUAUUUUUCAAAAUUUUCACAAUACAAUUCAUAUUGAUUGCUGGGGACUGACAUAUCACAUUCAUGGUCCAGCAGUUUAUUAUGUUUACUUUGUUCUGUCUCAGUGAGUAUACCCCCCACAUCUCUUAAGUUUAUUCAUAUAACAUGAUAAAGGAAACAAGGACAAGCACUUCACUACAGUUUUAGAUGACUGCUAGUGACAGAUAUAUUUUGAAGUAUUUCUUAUCUUUAUAAUAUUGAAAUUAUAUGGAUGGCAUUCAGAGAAACUAUUGUUUCUGGACAUUGUAUCUAGGCAUCUGUAAUGUUAAAUAUUGACCUGAUUAAAAUACAGAUUCUGGCUUUGUUUACAUUAGGAUCUGACAUGAUGCUUCAUUCUUCUUUCUGCUCUGAUAAUUAUUAUGUCAAUCAAUUAAAUUUCUGGCUCCAUAAUUUUGAAUGUAUGUAUCAUUACGACAAAUCCCAAGGAUCCUAAAAACAUUUUCGGAACAGAAAAUUAAUCAGAUCGUUGUCCAAUCUAAAAAUAUUAUAAAGCAUAACAUAGACAGAGGAUAGAUUGUGUUAACCUAUUUCUAUAGUACAUUUUCAUAAAAAGACAUUUAGCCUAAAGUUACAACGUAUGACCAAACUAUCAAUCUAUCCAUCAAAUAAACUUAUAUUACAGAAGUAUUAUUACCAAAAAUACAUUAAAAUAAUGUUAAACAUUAAAAUAUUGUUUACAGCUACCAUAUUGUAUACAUAAUGUAAGUCAAGAACCUUUGACAAUUUUAAAGAUUAAAAGAUGUCUGAUAUUCAGGCCGGAAUAAUUUAGAAUGCAGUCUAUUUGACUAAAUUGAAUGAUGCAUUCUUGACAUUAUUAAAAUGAGACAACUGUUGAGUUUGUUAACAUAUCAAUGUUGAAUGAAAGUAUCCCUGAGCAGUAUUUAGUUAUUAUAAAAAGGAAAAGAUAGCAAUAUGGUUACAAUUUAAAAAGUAAAAGAUUGCAGUAGGGUUACAAUUUAAAAAGUAAAAGAUUGCAGUUGGGUUACAAUUUAAAAAGAAAAAGAGUGCAGUUGGGUUACAAUUUAAAAAGAAAAAGAUUGCAGUAGGGUUUCAAUUGAAAAAGAAAAAAGAGUUGGGUUACAAUUUAAAAAGAAAAAGAGUGCAGUUGGGUUACAAUUUAAAAAGUAAAAGAGUGCAGUAUGGUUACAAUUUAAAAUGGAAAAGAUUGCAGUUGGGUUACAAUUUAAAAAGAAAAAAAAGUUGGGUUACAAUUUAAAAAGGAAAAGAGUGCAGUAUGGUUACAAUUUAAAAAGUAAAAGAUUGCAGUUGGGUUACAAUUUAAAAAGAAAAAAAUUGCAGUUGGGUUACAAUUUAAAAAGAAAAAAAGAGUGCAGUUGGGUUACAAUUUAAAAAGAAAAAAAGUGCAGUUGGGUUACAAUUUAAAAAGAAAAAAAAGUUGGGUUACAAUUUAAAAAGAAAAAAAAGUUGGGUUACAAUUUAAAAAGAAAAAAAAGUUGGGUUACAAUUUAAAAAGAAAAAAGAGUGCAGUUGGGUUACAAUUUAAAAAGAAAAAAGAGUGCAGUUGGGUUACAAUUUAAAAAGAAAAAAGAGUGCAGUUGGGUUACAAUUUAAAAAGAAAAAAGAGUGCAGUUGGGUUACAACACCAAUUAUUUUGCUUUUGAUUUCUUUUGUUUUUUAGUUGAUUUGUUGUUUUUGUUUUGUUUUCUCUUUGGGGGAAGAAGGCUGUUGGUGUAUGUUGUUCAAGUUGAUAUAAUGAUAUAUAAUGUAUAGUAUUUCUUAUAAAGUUCCUAACUGGGACCAAAAUGUUUCGUAUCUACAAGUCAUAUAUCCCCUUUGUACCAGCCUGUGACUUCCAUGAUACAGAAAACACAUUCAUAGAACAUCCCAGCUAAUAGAUUGAUUAAGUCCCUAGGAGAAGUCAUAUUGGAACAAAUUGUGUUGUAAGUUUUAGUAACAUUGUAACAUGUCAAAGUUUUAGUAACAUUGUAACAUGUCAAAGUUUUAGUAACAUUGUAACAUGUCAAAGUUUUAGUAACAUUGUAACAUGUCAAAGUUUUAGUAACAUUGUAACAUGUCAAAGUUUUAGUAACAUUGUAACAUGUCAAAGUUUUAGUAACAUUGUAACAUGUCAAAUUCAUUGAUUUUUCGGAAUUUUCCAUAAGAAAUCUGUUUGGUUUGAUUCCUAGGCAGACAUGCAUUGAUCAUUGUCAUUUCGCUUAGUUUCUUCUGUUACCUAUUCUAACAUCAGACUUGGACUUCUUCUAAAAUGAGUUUUACUGCGUCUUUGUUUGUUCUACGUUGGCUAGAGGUAUAGGGGGAGAGGGUUGAGAUCUCACAAAACAUGUCUAAACCUGCCACAUUUUUGCGCCUGUCCCAAGUCAGGAACCUCUGGCCUUUUUUUAGUCUUAAGUGUUUUUUUUUUAUUUUGGUUCAUUUCUAUGCUUCAGAGUUUAGUGUGAUGUCCAUUUUCUCUGAAUUUAAGUACACAUUUUUGUUUAGGGGCCAGCUGAAGCCUGCCUCCAGGUGCAGGAUUUUCUCGCUGUGUUGAAUACCCAUUGGUAGCCUUGGGUUAUUUUCUGCUCUUUGGUCGGGUUGUUGUCUCUUUGACACAUUCCCCGUUUCCAUUCUCAAUUUUAUGUGUAUAAAAUAAAGUUGGUUUUAAACUGGUGAGUGAAUGCAUCAUUUUCAACUAAAAGUAGAUCAAAGACUUAAAUGGCCUGGUUGUGCAUAAUGUUUCUUUAAAACAAUUGAGAAUGAACAUUUAAAUGUAUGGAAAUGUAUAAUAUAAAAAUGUGAAAAAAUCUUUAAUCAACUUUAAAAUGUAAUGAGCACAACCACAAGAUGUUUGCAAACUUUCUGAGAAGUUCCAAAGAUCUAGUGAGUAAAAAAACAAAAAAUGUUUACUAUCUUUUGAAAAUUUUACUGAAGAAAUUCCCAAGUAUGGAAAAAUGAGAAAAAAUCCUCAAAUUUUAAUUCCAUGAUAGUAUAGCUGCAAUAUCCUUGUAAAGUUCCAGGGAUCUAGGUUGAAACCGUAGGACAAUUUGGUUACACAGAACUGGUGGUACUUUAUUUCAUAAUUUUGCUGAGUUCCCAAGUCUGGAAAAAUGGGGAAAAUUCGUCAAUCAAUUCCAUAAUACCAGGCUCACAACUUCAACGUGUAUGCAAUCUGCCUGAAGUUUCAGGGAUCUGGUUUGAAAACUGUAGGAGGGGUUGAUUACACAAAACUGGCACCCAACCACCCACUAGGAGGGGUUGAUUACACAAAACUGGAAACCCAACCACCACUCACCAGACCAAUAUAUAAGCAGGUGCACUAUUUCAACAUGUGUGCAAUCUUUCUGUGAGGUUUUAGAGACAUAGGUUGAACAUAUAGGAGGAGUUUAUUACACUAAUUAGGUUCAUACUUUUUCCCUGGUCCAUCUAACUGCCCAGCUCCUGACAUCACCAUACAAUAAGACUGUUUCAGACUUCGUCCAGCCUGGCCAAACCCUGAUAGGUAUCUAAAUGAUAUUAUUCCACUGUUUAAACAUAUUGAUAGUUUAAUCAAUAUUUGAUUGGUUGAGACUAUCCCACGUGUCAUUGAACAAAUCUUCAUAUUCCAUUCUGAGGAUCAUAUUCCCCUCUGAAAUGUCGGGAUUACUUCGUGCGACGUUACGCGCGGUUAAUGUACAUAACGUUUUGAACUUCUUAUUCUUCUUAAAAUAACGAUAGCAAAAAUCAUUAUCAUGUUCAAAUUUAUUUCAGACGAUAAAAAAAAAGACUUAUAAUUAAAUUUUGAUCGUUAUUGUUUAUCAAUGGGUAUGUCGUGUUUAGUUUGACUUACAAAAACAAGCGGAUAAGAAAAAAAAUGUAUGUAAAAUAAUAUUUAAUGUAUUGAUAGUAAACAAAGCAUAGGCAGUGGAAUAAAACAUUCAUUUCCCUUUGCCUCGGGAGAUAUGAAGAUUUGCUCACCCUCGAAAAAUCAUAUUUCCCUCGGGCAGAGCCCUCGUGAAAUAUGAAUAUUCUUGGGUGAACAAAUCUUCAUAUCUCCC